GGGCCCGUUCGCAGGUUGUUCUGACCCAAUCAGGUCCCGAAGUGAAGCAGCCCCGGGAAUCCACCCAGCUGAAAUGCACCAUGAGCGGGUUUGUUCCUAACGACCGGUGGAUGGCUUGGGUCAGGCAGCAGCCGGGAAAGGGACUGGAGUGGCUGGUCCGCUAUCACCAAUCUUCAGUCACAAAUUACCACUCCCCCUCCGUCCAGGGCCGAUUCACAGCCUCCAAGGACAGCUCCAACUUCUACCUGCAAAUGACCAGCCUGAAAGCGGAGGACACCGCUGUGUAUUACUGCGCGAGAGACACUGACACACAGUGA